rnacentral:rRNA from 1 species
AAAGUUUAACCUGCCCACUGAUAUAUUAAAUGGCCGCAGUAUAUUAACUGUGCAAGGUAGCAUAAUCAUUAGUCUUUUAAUUGAAGGCUGGAAUGAAUGGUUGGACGAGAUAUUUACUGUUUCAUAUUUAUUUAUAUUAGAAUUUUAUUUUUUAGUAAAAAAGCUAAAAUAAUAUUAAAAGACGAGAAGACCCUAUAAAUCUUUAUAUUUAAUUAAUUUUUAUAUAUUAGAAAUUAAAUUAUAUUUAUUAAAUUAAAUAUUUUAUUGGGGUGAUAUUAAAAUUUAAUUAACUUUUAAUAUUAAAAACAUUAAUUUAUGAAUUAUUGAUCCAAUAAUAUUGAUUAUUAGAAUAAGAAACUUUAGGGAUAAUAGCGAAAUAUGAAAGAGGAGAUAUCUCGGAUAACCAAUCAUGCGAGCUCUCUGUUGAAUGAAUAAAGAAUAUGCGGCGUAGGCUUUGAAAAACUAAGGCGGCCCGACUAUAAGACUCUGACCUGGUCUGAGUUUAG